GUGUCAGCCGCCGCGGUAAUACGUAGGAUCCGAGCGUUGUCCGGAAUUACUGGGUGUAAAGGGCGUGUAGGUGGAUUCCUAAGUCGGUGGUGAAAGCCUGCAGCUUAACUGCAGAAUUGCCUUCGAUACUGGGGAUCUUGAGUGCGGCAGAGGGAGAUGGAAUUCAUGGUGUAGCGGUGAAAUGUGUAGAUAUCAUGAAGAACACCGGUAGCGAAGGCGGUCUCCUGGUCCGCAACUGACACUGAUGCGCGAAAGCGUGGGGAGCAAACAGGAUUAGAAACCCCCGUAGUCC
rnacentral:rRNA from 1 species